rnacentral:rRNA from 1 species
AUGUUUUUCUACAGCAUAAGCAGAAGACGCUCGGUGUGCAAGAUUGUGGACGACCUCCGAGACCACUUGUACUGGACAACGCCGCACGGCUGGCUGCUCAUGGCGCACGCGCACCCUGGCUCACGCCUGACAUUCCUGUGGAACCCGUUCACGCGCCGGAGAAUCGACCUGCCCCCUGACCGAGAGAGGUUCCUCACGAGGAACCCGGUCAGGUGCGCGCUCUCGCACGAGCCCACGGACCCAAGCUGCGUGGUGCUCGUCGUAAACUCCGUGGACACGGUGCUCUGGCACUGCCGCCCGGGAGCAGCCGAGUGGUCCGAGCACGGCUACUACCAGGCAGGCGGCCUGGGCGUCCACCACGGUCGUGACGAUGUCAUCCAUGCAAUGAGCCUUGUGACGGCGGCGAGCGGGAAGUUCUACGCGAGCCUGCUGGGCGCCACCGUCCUGACGCUGGAGUUCUCGCCGGCGGGCCCGGCCUUCACAGAAACCCCCAUCGCCGAGCAGCCAUGUCACCCGAUCCCGAUGUACCGCGUCUGGAGCCUUCACCUGCUGGAGUCGCGCGGGGAGCUCUUCAGCGUCUCCUUGUACCACCCCUUGAUGGAGCGGUGUGACAAGGUUGCGCAGAUAGUCGUCCGCAGGCUCGACCUGCCGGCGAGGGCUUGGGUGGAGGUGGACGCCAUCGGGGAUCGGGCCUUCUUGGUCGAUGCAGCCCAUUUUGGCGCGUCGCUCGGCGCGGAAGGAGCUGGUCUCAAGGGGAACUGCGUUUACUAUUUGAGGCGCGGAGAAAAGGGGUUAUAUGUUUAUGACAUGGAACGUGGAACCACUGCCAUGCACGACCCCGGUCCAGAUUUGCCCGAUGAUGCCACGUCUGUGAUAUUGAUGCCCGCAUCUUGA